rnacentral:rRNA from 1 species
AGAGUUUGAUCCUGGCUCAGGACGAACGCUGGCGGUGUGCUUCACACAUGCAAGUCGAACGGAGUAGCAAUACUCAGUGGCGGACGGGUGAGUAACACGUGGGAAUCUACCAUUAGGUGGGGAAUAGCAGGCCGAAAGGACUGCUAAUGCCGCAUAUGUAGGCAUCUCGACAGAGAUGUUUAUGAAAGGAGUAAUCCGCCUUUUGAUGAGCCCGCGUCCGAUUAGCUAGUUGGUAGGGUAAAAGCCUACCAAGGCGACGAUCGGUAGGUGGUCUGAGAGGAUGAUCACCCACAAUGGGACUGAGACACGGCCCAUACUCCUACGGGAGGCAGCAGUGGGGAAUUUUACGCAAUGGGGGAAACCCUGACGUAGCGACACCGCGUGAGCGAAGAAGCCCUUUGGGGUGUAAAGCUCUGUCAACAGGAACGAAACAAAUGACGGUACCUGUGGAGGAAGCAUCGGCUAACUACGUGCCAGCAGCCGCGGUAAGACGUAGGAUGCAAGCGUUGUCCGGAUUUAUUGGGCGUAAAGAGUUCGUAGGCGGUUUGUUAAGUCUGAUGUUAAAGACCGGGGCUCAACCUCGGAAAUGCAUUGGAUACUGGCAGACUGGAGUGCAGUAGAGGCUAGUGGAAUUCCCAGUGUAGCGGUGAAAUGCGUAGA